rnacentral:rRNA from 1 species
UACGUAGGGUGCAAGCGUUGUCCGGAAUUAUUGGGCGUAAAGAGCUCGUAGGCGGUCUGUCGCGUCGGCUGUGAAAACUCGGGGCUCAACUCCGAGCUUGCAGUCGAUACGGGCAGGCUAGAGUUCGGCAGGGGAGACUGGAAUUCCUGGUGUAGCGGUGAAAUGCGCAGAGAUCAGGAGGAACACCGGUGGCGAAGGCGGGUCUCUGGGCAGUAACUGACGCUGAGGAGCGAAAGCGUGGGGAGCGAACAGG